AUUGAACGCUGGCGGCAUGCUUUACACAUGCAAGUCGAACGGUAACAGGCCUUCGGGCGCUGACGAGUGGCGAACGGGUGAGUAAUGCAUCGGAACGUGCCCAGUCGUGGGGGAUAACGCAGCGAAAGCUGUGCUAAUACCGCAUACGAUCUGUGGAUGAAAGCGGGGGACCUUCGGGCCUCGCGCGAUUGGAGCGGCCGAUGUCAGAUUAGGUAGUUGGUGGGGUAAAGGCUCACCAAGCCAACGAUCUGUAGCUGGUCUGAGAGGACGACCAGCCACACUGGGACUGAGACACGGCCCAGACUCCUCCGGGAGGCAGCAGUGGGGAAUUUUGGACAAUGGGCGCAAGCCUGAUCCAGCAAUGCCGCGUGCAGGAAGAAGGCCUUCGGGUUGUAAACUGCUUUUGUACGGAACGAAACGGUCCUGGUUAAUACCUGGGGCUAAUGACGGUACCGUAAGAAUAAGCACCGGCUAACUACGUGCCAGCCGCCGCGGUAAUAC
rnacentral:rRNA from 1 species